rnacentral:rRNA from 1 species
GACGAACGCUGGCGGCGUGCUUAACACAUGCAAGUCGAGCGGUAAGGCCCUUUCGGGGGUACACGAGCGGCGAACGGGUGAGUAACACGUGGGUGACCUGCCUCUAGCUCUGGGAUAAGCCUGGGAAGCUGGGUCUAAUACCGGAUAUGACCUCGCGGUGCAUGUUGCGGGGUGGAAAGCCUUGUGCGGCUAGGGAUGGGCCCGCGGCCUAUCAGCUUGUUGGUGGGGUGANGGCCUACCAAGGCGACGACGGGUAGCCGGCCUGAGAGGGCGACCGGCCACACUGGGACUGAGACACGGCCCAGACUCCUACGGGAGGCAGCAGUGGGGAUCUUGCGCAAUGGGCGAAAGCCUGACGCAGCGACGCCGCGUGAGGGAUGACGGCCU